CCCUUAGAUGUCCGGAGCCGCACGCGCGCUACACUGAAGGAAUCAGCGUGGCUUUCUCCCUGACCCGAAAGGGUUGGGAAACCCGUUGAAUCUCCUUCGUGAUAGGGAUUGGGGCUUGAAAUUGUUCCCCAUGAACGAGGAAUUCCCAGUAAGCGCGAGUCAUAAGCUCGCGUUGAUUACGUCCCUGCCCUUUGUACACACCGCCCGUCGCUACUACCGAUUGAACGGUUUAGUGAGGGCCUCGGAUUGGUCUCGGCCCGCUCUUUACCGGGCGGCGCCGUUGGUCGAGAAGACGCUCGAACUUGAUCGUUUAGAGGAAGUAAAAGUCGUAACA
rnacentral:rRNA from 1 species